GACGAACGCUGGCGGCGUGCUUAACACAUGCAAGUCGAGCGGUAAGGCCCUUUCGGGGGUACACGAGCGGCGAACGGGUGAGUAACACGUGGGUGACCCGCCCUCAGCUCUGGGAUAAGCCUGGGAAACCGGGUCUAAUACUGGAUAUGACUCCAUGACGCACGUUGUGGGGUGGAAAGCCUUGUGCGGCUGAGGAUGGGCCCGCGGCCUAUCAGCUUGUUGGUGGGGUGAUGGCCUACCAAGGCGACGACGGGUAGCCGGCCUGAGAGGGCGACCGGCCACACUGGGACUGAGACACGGCCCAGACUCCUACGGGAGGCAGCAGUGGGGAAUCUUGCGCAAUGGGCGAAAGCCUGACGCAGCGACGCCGCGUGAGGGAUGACGGCCU
rnacentral:rRNA from 1 species